GAUGAACGCUAGCUACAGGCUUAACACAUGCAAGUCGAGGGGAAACGGCAUUAAGUGCUUGCACUUUUUGGACGUCGACCGGCGCACGGGUGAGUAGCGCGUAUCCAACCUUCCCAUGACUAAGGGAUAACCUGCCGAAAGGCAGACUAAUACCUUAUGGUCUUCACUGACGGCAUCAGAUGUGAAGUAAAGAUUUAUCGGUUAUGGAUGGGGAUGCGUCUGAUUAGCUUGUUGGCGGGGUAACGGCCCACCAAGGCAACGAUCAGUAGGGGUUCUGAGAGGAAGGUCCCCCACAUUGGAACUGAGACACGGUCCAAACUCCUACGGGAGGCAGCAGUGAGGAAUAUUGGUCAAUGGGCGAGAGCCUGAACCAGCCAAGUAGCGUGCAGGAUGACGGCCCUAUGGGUUGUAAACUGCUUUUGUAUGGGGAUAAAGUCAAUCACGCGUGAUUGUUUGCAGGUACCAUACGAAUAAGGACCGGCUAAUUCCGUG
rnacentral:rRNA from 1 species